rnacentral:misc_RNA from 1 species
GAAAAGGUCGCUUGUACAGAAUGGAACGGGUUGAUCGUUCGCAGUGGGACCUUCUUUCACCUUACAAUGGAAAAACUGUUCUGCUGCAAGGAAUACCUCGAAAUGCAAUGAUAGAAGACGUGGAACACUUCUUAUCUGGCUGUGACUAUGAUGGAACCUCAAUCAAUAUAUUUAUCAGGUCAUCCUUUCCAGAUCCCAUCAAAAUGGCAACGGUGCUGUUCCCUUCACCAACACAAGCAAUGCAUGCAUUUCUUACAAAGAACAGAGGCUUUUGUCUGAACAACCGAAUUUCGAUGCAGGUUCUCCAAUAACUAGUAACUCUUAUCAUCUAUGUUGGGCACAUUCUUUUGUUGGCUCGUUGGCUGGACGUUUUGUAGUAGUCUUUAUUGAGUUAUGACUUGC